UUUUUAAAUGAGUGGCCAAAUAUUGAAUUUCAUUGCCAAAUAUGACUAUCUCACAAGUUGACUCUUUGAAAAAAGGGUUCUCUACAAAUAUGAUCUAAUCUAAACUCACAAUGCACAUAAUGCUAUUGAACAAUACUAUAUUUUUAUUACCAAAAACCCGGAAAUAAUACACAUAAAUAUGAUCUUUUGCACUAGGAUAGAGGUAGCAUGCAUGCUGUCAUUUCUUGUACUAGUAAAACCAAGGAACAACAAGACUUAGUCUUACAAUAAUGCAAUUACACAAUAAGAUAAAUAAUGUUCACUCUUCUUCUCUGUUGUAUCUCUCAGCAAAGGCUUACAGCAGAGAUGCUAAUGAGCAAGAGCCGGUGCAGCAGGGAGGCUCGGUUCAAGGACUUGAAGCAUACCUGUCGCGAGCCUUGUCGUGAGAUCCUCAACAGGAACUUUUACCACAUCCCUCCUCAUGCCGAUGUCUGCAGCAUAGCGACUGACACAAUAAACCCCAACUGCAGUAGCCGCCAUCCCAUAGAUGUUGGUGGUGACGAGCCGCAGAGGUGUAGACAAUACAGCCGCAAGAGGUCCGCCUAUAAUGGACACGGCCUGCCCGCUCUGUCCCAUUGUAN
rnacentral:lncRNA from 1 species